AUUUUUGUUUGGAGUUGUUUAAUUAAAGUGAUUUAUGCGGAAGUAGCCGUUUCUUAUCAGGUUAAUAUCUGAUAUGUGGCCUAUUGGGUUACAUGAUAUUAAAUUAAUUUCUUGUGGGGGAUGGCCCACCUGGGGUCAUUGAGCGUCGCCUUUUGUUGCACUAUUACAUAGGCCUGGCGCACCCCUA